rnacentral:rRNA from 1 species
CAGUCGCCGCGGGAAUACGAAGGGUGCAAGCGUUACUCGGAAUUACUGGGCGUAAAGCGUGCGUAGGUGGUGGUUUAAGUCCGUUGUGAAAGCCCUGGGCUCAACCUGGGAAUUGCAGUGGAUACUGGGCAACUAGAGUAAGGUAGAGGAUAGUGGAAUUUCCGGUGUAGCAGUGAAAUGCGUAGAGAUCGGAAGGAACAUCUGUGGCGAAGGCGACUAUCUGGGCCAACACUGACACUGAGGCACGAAAGCGUGGGGAGCAAACAGGAUUAGAUACCCCUGUAGUCCCUGUCUCUUAUAC